rfam:Gossypium arboreum cultivar AKA8401 contig_20597_1, whole genome shotgun sequence.
AUCCCAUGAUGAAGACACUUACAAAGUAACUCCUUGAAUCACUCCCAAGCCUCAUACAAAGACUCGUCAUCCAAUUGUUGGAAGAUUUUGAUCUCGUUCUAAACUU